rnacentral:lncRNA from 1 species
UAGCAGUUAAAGGGAAAUGGCACUACAAGCACUAUCUUCUAAUGAGUUCUUGAACUUCAUACUCUAUGACACUAUCUCCGCUACCCCGUGUAGCAGCCAUGCCUCGCUAGAGACAACAAGUUUAUUGUUAGAGAAUUUGAAACCUCAAGACCAUGGUGUUUCUGUAAAUAGCUCCUCCCUAAUGAAUGGACAGAGAUGCUCGAUGGGACGAGAAGCAGACAACAGGAGGCAUAAUUUAUUAGCUGUGCAAGGAAAGAAGAAAAGAAGGAGAAAGCCAAGAGUUUGUAAGAACAGGGAAGAUGCCGAGACACAAAGGAUGACACACAUUGCUGUGGAGAGGAAUAGGAGGAAACUGAUGAAUGAGCAUCUUGCCGUUUUGAGAUCUCUCAUGCCUGAAUCUUAUGUUCAAAGGGUUCGUUUCUAAUUGUUUCCUGCAACUACCUCCCAUGUGUUCUCUUGCUCCUUUUCUAUAAUGGCAUGCAGAUACCUUAAUUAAUUAGUGAUCAUUCAUGAAGAAGUUGUUCUGAAUAUUAUUGUUUUUGCCAACCUUUUGUUGUAGAAAUUUGGUAACUCUCCCUAGACCUUAGUGGACAGUUCUAGGCACAUGAAUAUCUAUGGAUAACUUUGCAGCUUGGGGUCUAUGGAUAUCUCAUAUUCAAGCAUAUACAUUUUAAGAAAAAACAGUUGCAAUUGUUAAUUAGGUGAAUUUUAGUUUAGAUGUCAGUGUUAAUUUUAGGAACAAUUGGAUUUUGUUUUUUGAAAAUUUGAGACUUGUCGGAUGAAAGAGACCGUAAAGCAGCACUCAGAACCCAGUCACAUGUAUCUGAAAAUACUGGCUCCACCACUGCAUUUUGCUCCUUUUUUUUCUUACAUAAUUCUUUUAUUUUCACUUGAGAAAAAGCAAUAUUAUAGAGACUCUAGAGCAAGUGUUCAUCCGUGGUGCUGCUGGUGAUUAAUCUGGAUUUAUUUGAUAUGCAAGGUUAAAAUUUUAUCUCUUUUAUUUUCCUUGCUACCUGCCUGCAUGUACUCAUCACGUUUGCUAAAAACUUUCUUAAAGUGCAGGGUGACCAGGCUUCUAUAGUGGGUGGUGCCAUUGAGUUCGUGAAGGAGUUGGAGCACCUUCUACAAUCCCUUGAAGCUAAGAAGCUCAAACUAAAGCAAGGAUUAACAGGACCUAAUUACAGCACUGAAAAUGCCACCACAACCGCAGAGUUUCCACCGCCACCCUUUUCCCAAUUUUUCGUGUGUCCUCAGUACACUUGGUCUCAAAUUCCUAGCAAGUUUACGUCAAAGACUGCGGCAUCCAUAGCCGAUAUUGAGGCCACUUUGAUUGAAACUCAUGCAAAUCUACGAAUUCUCUCAAGAAGAAGCCCUAGACAACUUUCAAAGUUAGUUUCUGGAUUUCACACGCUUUACCUCACUGUCCUCCACAUCAAUGUGACCACCAUGGACCCAUUGGUUCUCUACUCAAUCAGUGCCAAGGUAUGUACAGUCAAUAUAACUUGUACUAUUGUUUGCACAAUUUUGCGCAUUUAAGUCUUUCUUCACUUUAUUUAUGGGCCCUUGCAUAAAAGAAUAAGAAAAUUCGAAUCCUACCAAUAUAUUCCUUUUGUCCCUUUGGGUGCCAUCUCUAUCAGUAUAUAGCAUUUUUAUUCAAAGGAGAUUUUAUAUCAUGUUCAGAAAAAUGUAGUCACUUCCACCGAUUAAAUAUUAUUGAACAUGUUACAUUGAUCAUGAUGGGUCGUGUAUUUCAUUCUGAAAGCAUGAACUAGCAAAUGACCCCGCAGUAAUGAAAUUGAUGGCGAGGAAAUCUGUAGCCAUUUCAUAAGCAACGGUCUUCAAUUAUUGUCGUAUGGGGUAGAAUGGGCAGGGCGAGGAUACUUUCUAGUAUUUUCGGGGUUUCCUAAGUUUAGAAAUGCUUGUCUCUUUUGCCUGUUCUACACAAAAUGAAUCAGUUCUCGACUAAAUUUGGAACAUUCUUAAUGCAGCUCGAAGAAGGAUGCCAACUCACAUCAGUAGAUGACUUAGCAGGAGCAGUCCACCACAUGCUUAGAAUAAUUGAGCAAGAAGCUGCCAUAUGUUAAUCAAUUAGUCAUCAUCUAUCCAAAAUGCCCAUUGAUUUGGAACAAAACCACCAUAAUGCCACCCACUUUUCCCUAUUGCAAUGAAGUUUCUGGCCUUCUUUCUUAGGUCUUUCAAAGUGUUUUUAGUGUAGUUGUGUUUGGUUCCUCCUGGACAUAACUGUUGACCUGUAAUUCUUAAGUUGUAAUAAUGGUGUUUUCAAACAGAAAUGAAAUGGGACGAUGGGGGCUACAAUGGGAUUUGGGCAGCCUGGCCAUGAUGGUAAGGAUCUGGCAUGCGAAGGUAUCUGUUUCAAAGAGUACUGAAAAUUAAAUGUGAAUUAUAUGCAGGAUAAGAGUGCAUUUUCUUCUCUUAACCUUUUUGGUUCUUUGUACAACUUCUUUCUUUUAACCUGAUUCUCUGGAUUUGCAUGUGAGAUCUCGAUCUAUACCUGAUUGGCCAGGGUACUUCUUCCAUUAGAUUGCGCUAGAUUAACCGAAUUUGCAUGGCUUUUACCUUUUACCAAGAACAGAAAAACACAGGAUUUUUUUGGAUGUCCGACAAUAUCAAGUAAUUAUGAGGCCUAUUUGUGACCUCUCCAACAAAACCUUUUAGAAAACCAUGCACUACAGGAUCGGUUAAGCUAGAUAUAUAUAGGUUUCAUCUUGCUGCCUUCCUUUUAUCUUCUUAUCAUGAAUUGCCAUGAUCUUGUGAUUCUUAUUAAUUAAUCUUCUACUUAUACUUGGGUGAUCGAAUGGUCAGCUUCAAUGUUAGCGGGAAAAGAAAAUAUCAUGAUCCUCUCUCAAUGAAACAUAAUAUGAUAGCAGAAAUUAAGAGCAGCAAAAAAAUGUCUAAUGGUUAGCUCUCUAGAUUACUAAUAAUUAAUAUUUAUUUAUAGGCGUCAAUGCCGCCUUACUAUGUGAGCAAAAUCAUGGAAGAGGACGAAAAUUGUACGCAUUCAUGGGGUAACAACGCAAAGAUAACCCUUUUGUUCAAGAGCAACGGAUCUCUUAUGAAGUUGCUAGAGAUGGAAACUAUCAAGCAGGACGGCAUAAAUUAUAUAAUUACGCUGAUAUUCAUAAUGAACUAAAUCUUGAAAAUGGUGAUUCCAGAUCAAAGUCAUCAUAGAAUUUUUUUUAUUAAAUCCAUAUAUAAUUAGUUGCUUCAUCAUGUAAAUAAGCCCUUAAUAAUUAAUUAAGAACGUUAUCACCACAAACGCGCUAUGGCUUGUUCUUUCUUCGUAAAAAGAUAAACGGAAGGUUGACAUUGUACAAGGUGGUGGUGGUCUUGGAAAAGGUGAUGAGUUUUUGUAGUUCAGACCUUAGAAGUAAAAAGUUUUUGUGGGAUCGAUGCAUUUUACCUUAUUCAUUGAUUCUUAGCUCCCAAUUUUGUUCUUUGUGGAGGAUAAAUCUGAAUUCUAAUUAAAACACAUGUCUUCUAGUGUAGCAAGACAGAGACAUGGCUGACCCUAACGUAUGAUUCAUAGAGAAAAGAGAGAAAUGGGAUCUUAUCACUUAGGUACAGUCACGAACGUGGUCCAAUUUUAUGCUCUGUGUAAUCUUCAUGAAUCGCAAGACUCUUUACUAGAUAGCUGAUAAGUUAAGAUGUUGAGAUUUAUAUCAGGAGUUUGCCCUAAUAUGGAUAGCAUUUAAUUGAUUUUGUGCUAAUUCUUGCAUUACCUUCGGCUUUCUAGCAGCUCUAGUUUCAACAAAUAUUACCCUUGAAGUUGAUAGUUUUAUUCUGUAAAGAUACCAUCUGAGCAAUUUUGUUUGUUUGUUUCUUGUAUAUUUGUUUUCCUAUUCCCUAGCUCGUUAAUUAUGAUAUUUAUAUAUAUUCUAAAUUAAUUUACAAAAUUACUUGAUAUUCCAAUCAAAGCAAACCAAUCGCUAACACCAUACACGAAUACCUACACAUGCAAGUUUGUCUAACAAUUGAGUAUUCGUAGGUUUUUUCCUUCUUUUUUCUAUUGAAGUAGAUUGCAGUUGAAUAACUCUAAUUUCAUUAAUAGAAAAAUAGAAAAGUUACCUUAUCAAGUAGUCCUUUGAAAGCAAAAACAAAAUGGAGCUAUCUUUCUGUAUGAUCUUGUCAAAAAAAAAAAAAACUCUAUCCAAAAUGUUUUUGUUUCGCAUGGAUUUAUUAAUUUAAUAAGAGAGAUUAUAGCUUCUAACCUACUUGAUUAGAAAAUCUUUGAUAUUAUAUUAAAAAUUAUAUUAAUUUAAAAACUUUAAGAUGUUAGAUAGUCUAAGAAAUAUUUUUAUAUUAUUUUUUGAUAAAUUUAAAUAUAAUUAUCAGACUCAAAUCUAAGAUAUAAAUUAUAAAGAGUUAAAUAAAUGGGACAUCCACUCAUAAGUCAAUUCAUUUUUUUUUUAACGAAAAACUAAAACAAGGUUAUUUUCAUAUAUAUAUAUAUAUAUAUAUAUAUAUAUAUAUAUAUAUAUAUAAACAAAGCGUUGACCCUAUUAAAUAUAUAUGAAAUUGGGUUAGAUGGGUCAACUGAAUUUAUCCUUUUAAACUUAACACAAGUGAGGCUGCAAGCCAACUCAUUAUAUGGGCCCGGUUAGAUAACACUGAUCUAAAAGGGGAAGAAAGAAUACAUGUUCUAACUAAUAUAAGGUCCACAUCGACGGUAAAGCCCUUGAGACAGAUUCAGUACAGCCCAUUUAUAUAGGACCGAAUGAACCCAUUGGGCCCCCAAUAACUAAAAUAAGCAAGUUGCGGUUUUAUUGAUAGACAUGCCAUCUCAUUCCCAGUGACCCAUUCAGAACCAUACCCCAGCCUGGCAUGUCUAUUUAUGAGCAUGGUUUCCCCUUUCUUUCUUUCUUUCUUUUUUCUUUUUUUUUUUUCUCCCUUCUAUCCUUUUUAUCCCACUUGAAUUUUAAAUUCAUGACACUAAACGUUAAGGAAAAAAAAAAACCUUUGUAGGAGGUUUCUGGGAUUUGGAUGCAUUCGUUCCUAUGCUGAAUAUUAAUUACUGCAUGAAAGAACUGCUAACUAAAGGUCUGGAUAACGGUUGUUUUUCAAAUAAUUUUUCGUGUAGAAAUAUAUGUCAAUAAUAUUUUUUUAUUUUUUAAAAAUUAUUUUUUAUAUCAACACAUCAAAACGAUUCAAAAAAUAUAAAUCACAUUAAAUUUUAAUAAAAAAUUUUAAAAUUUUUAUUGAAAACACGGUUUGCACCGCGUUUCCAAACGUGCUCAAGGGUGCUGCCUGGGAGUGGGCUGACUUUGAAUGCGAAGAACUUCCCGCCUUCUAAUGACCGUACAGAAGCUAGUACAUGCUUUAUCGUACAUCAAGCAUCACCUCGAGAAGAGGCCACAUCAACAGCCAAAAACAUUCUCCGUUCUAAGAAUGUAGAUGGUAUUAGGAUGAUGAUGCUCAAAUUAAUUAAGCUAUUGCAGAACUGUACCCUCUAAGACUUUAGCAAUCACAGUACCCUUGUAACUCAAUAUGAGGGGACAAAUUAUUUGAAGGCUUUGGGAAAUUUGAAUGACAAGAUGCAUGUAUGUAGCAACCGAGCUUGCUCAAGUAUUGACGAUUUAAUUAUAACAAGCUGUUAAUCACCCUGUUGUGUGUUCCGACCAUGGAGGUUAGUGCUGUAAUACCAUUUUAACUGCAACAUCAUCAAGGCGUGAUAUGUUCACACACGGAUACCAGUAGUCGUUUGUAAGAGAGUGGUGUGAUGAUAAAGAAUUUAAAAUUUGUACAUCAAUCGAGUUCGAAUUAAAAUAUAUAUUUCUUUCAAAAAUAUAAAAAACCAGGAUUUUAGAAUUUAUAAAAUACGGUUUACUCGAAUCCAUAAAAAAGUAUAGCAGUAGUCGUCAUUAUCACAUAUCCAGCCACUAGCUAGCCAUUGCAAUUGGUCAGCCGCAUGAUGAACGGCCCAGAUAACAGAGAUUAUCAUUUUGCAGGGUAGAAAUAAACGUUGAGUGGAAUGUGUAUGGUAUGCUAUGGGUUGUGAAGCGCACAAGCUAAAACGCUUAUAUUGGGUCUAAAAUAGUAAUCUCCCCCUUGAGAAUCUACUGUACGUGAGCCCAGUCAAUUUUUACUGCAAAAUCCAACUCAGAAUUGAACGUGAGGAGUAGCUGCUUGUGUUGUCUGUAUGCAUAUUUCUAUAUGGAUUUGGGUCCCCCUCCACCUCCUUCCUCUCUUCUCUCUCCUAUGCAGAAACUUUGCCAGCAGUGUUGACAGCACCUAUGAGUAUUGGGAAGGUUACUGGAACAAGGAUGAAAAAGAGAGCUCCUCUCCUUGUUUUUUUUUUCCUGCCCAUCUCACGUGCACCAUAUCCUUCUCUUUCUCUAUAUUACCCUCUCAGCAUAAAUUCACCUCUAAAAAAAUCCAACAAUUUACCCCUUCCUCGGUGUACAAAACACAUACUAUAUGCUGCUAUAUAAAAGCUAUAAGAAUAAGUGGUGGCUGUCAUUGGAAUGCAACACUGUGAUAUUUCUUAAGUUGCAUUUAGAGAGGUGAAGGUAGUUAGUUUAGCUAGCAGUUAAAGGGAAAUGACACUACAAGCACUAUCUUCUAAUGAGUUCUUGAACUUCAUACUCUAUGACACUAUCUCCGCUACCCCGUGUAGCAGCCAUGCCUCGCUAGAGACAACAAGUUUAUUGUUAGAGAAUUUGAAACCUCAAGACCAUGGUGUUUCUGUAAAUAGCUCCUCCCUAAUGAAUGGACAGAGAUGCUCGAUGGGACGAGAAGCAGACAAUAGGAGGCAUAAUUUAUUAGCUGUGCAAGGAAAGAAGAAAAGAAGGAGAAAGCCAAGAGUUUGUAAGAACAGGGAAGAUGCUGAGACACAAAGGAUGACACACAUUGCUGUUGAGAGGAAUAGGAGGAAACUGAUGAAUGAGCAUCUUGCCGUUUUGAGAUCUCUCAUGCCUGAAUCUUAUGUUCAAAGGGUUUGUUUCUAAUUGUUUCCUGCAACUACCACCCAUCUGUUCUCUUG